rnacentral:tRNA from 1 species
UUUAAACCCUAAAUAUGAAUUAAAUCUCAUAUCA